rnacentral:misc_RNA from 1 species
GAAAAGCAACAAUUGACUCUUUCCGUUUAUCCUCUUCUGCUCUGGCUCGUUCAACAAGCUUUUUCAGAGCCCUUCUUUCUCUAAGAGCAGCUCUGGAAGAAGUUAUACCGAGUUUUGAGGCAGCUUGGUGAAAAGACUCAAGUUCAUUGUUGUCACUACCAUUGAAUUUUCUUCCCUGCUGAAGCAAUGUAAUUAUCUCAUCACCAAUUUGCUUCUCCGCCAGAUCAAGUGAGAACUCAAUCCCUUGAAGUUCAUUCAGAACUUCAGAGAUCUGACAGCCAAUACUUUGUGGUACUAUAUCUUCAACACGCUUUAGACUAUCUUCAAGAGCACAUCUUGCUCUCUCAAAUUUCAGAACUAUAGAGUCACCUGUUAUGGCCAGGUAAAGUUUACUGCAUUCAGCACAAUGUUGAAGAACAGUCUUUGUUUUCUCAAGGGCUAUAUGCAAAGCACACAAUGCUUGAAUACCAGAUGUGCUUCUUGGUCUUGCAGCUUCUAGUUCAGGAAAUAUUCCCAGCACUUUUGCAUAUACAGCCGAUAAGCUCUUGCACAUUCCUCCAUGUAACUUAGGCUCACCGAUAGAUAACAAGUUCUCCUCAACCUCACUAUUCUCCAUCAUCAACAUCGAAUAGAAUAUUCAACUUCCUCAAUCAGCAGUAUAAAAAAAACAACCAAGGAGGCUUCAUGAAAAACUGCUGAAAUUAAUCCUAACAAUA